AAUCCCGGGGGACGCAGGGACGAUCCCGGGGGAAGCAGGGACGAUCCCAGGGGAUGCAGGGACCAUCCCAGGAGAUACAGGGAUGAUCCCAGGGGAAGCAGGAACCAUCCCGGGGGACGCAGGGACGAUCCCGGGGGAAGCAGGGACGAUCCCAGGGGAUGCAGGAAGGAGCCGAGCCGAGGCCCCGCGGCUCAGGGACACCCCGGGACCCGCGGGGAGGGUUCGGCCACCCCCGAGCGUACCUUGGCGAGGGCCGGGAGCCGGGGCACGAAGGCAGCGGGAUCAGCUCCAGUCGGCCAUGUCUCGCUGCUGCCGCCGCCGCCGGAGAGAGGCUGAUGUAGGAACAUCUAUUUUAAGGCAUGACAUGGCCAGAGGCAGCGUUGUUUAUGCCAGGCUGUGCGCGGAGGGGACCGAGGGACACGCGCGGGCACCGCGGAGCAGCGACAGCGACAACAACAACGUCCCCAAAUCCUCGGGCAGCCCCGCUGUCCUUCCUCCUCCCCCGCCCGCAGGGAGAGGAGGAGAAGCUGCCGAGGUGGUGCUGAGGACAUGGUUGCCCUCCCCGGGGAUCUGCAGCUGUCUCCAAGCCAUGAUUUUUUGUUUAUUUCUUUUUUUUAUUUCCAGCUGUUCUCGUCCCCCGUUUGUACAUCCAGGGCUCGGGAACAGCAGAGCCCGGCCCUGGCACCUGGGAUCCUUCCUGAGCCUGUUCUGGCACCUGCAGCCAUGUGAGAUCCAUCCCAAAUAUCCAUCCUGGUGUGGGAUCCAUCCCAAAUAUCAUCCCAGUGUGGGAUCCAUCCCAAAUAGUGUGGGAUCCAUCCCAAAUAUCCAUCCUGGUUUGGGAUCCAUCCCAAAUAUCCAUCCUGGUUUGGGAUCCAUCCCAAAUAUCAUCCCAGUGUGGGAUCCAUCCCAAAUAGUGUGGGAUCCAUCCCAAAUAUCAUCCCAGUGUGGGAUCCAUCCCAAAUGUCCUCCCAGUGUGGGAUCCAUCCCAAAUAUCCCAGUGUGGGAUCCAUCCCAAAUGUCCAUCCUGGUGUGGGAUCCAUCCCAAAUAUCAUCCCAGUGUGGGAUCCAUCCCAAAUAUCCCAGUGUGGGAUCCAUCCCAAAUGUCCUGCUGGCCCCUCACACGGGGCUCAGGCCCUGCUGCUGCUCCAUGGAUUGUCAUUCCCACCCUGUUCCACCUCAUUUCACUAUAAAAGUGCCAAGUUGGGAAUAUCCAGCUCUUGGAGGCACAAUUUAAUUCCUGCCCUACCAAGUUCGCUCUCCAAACCACUCCUCUCCCGCUGCCCUCAUUCCAGGAAUUCCCACCCUGAGCUUGCUCUUGUCCUCGAUCCCAGCCCAGUUUCACCCUUAGCACUGGAAAUUGUUCAUUUGGAGCCUGGAGGGGCCCCAGAACUGCGGGGGGAGGGAAAUGGGGGGGCUCUGCUUGAUGGGGGUGAGGGUGGGCAGAGGGAAACCUCAUUCCCUGGAGAGGAGCAGCUCCCAGGAAGUGCUGGAUCCCCUGGGAGUGGGGAGAGGGAAAAGGGAAAAGGGAGAGGGGAGAGGGAGAAAAGAGAGAGUGGGAAAAGGAGAGGGAAAAAGGAGAGGGAAAAGGGAGAGGGGAAAGGGAGAGGGGAAAAAGGGAGAGAGGAGAAACGGAGAGGGGAAAGGGAGAGGGGAAAAGGGAGAGGGGGGAAAAGGGAGGGAUGUCGUCUCUGCCUUUCAUGCUGGAGCUCCACCACACUCCCUCGUGUCAGUAGGAGGGGAGCUGAACCCAGCUUUGGUGUAACCAGAAUGAUUCCUUCACCAGUUCCAGCCAAUUUAUCCUUUUGAUUUCCCCUUUCCCUCCCAGCCUUGUUUCAUUUGAGCUCGGUUGGGUUUUUUUAUUUUUAUUUUCCCCCCUCUUUUAUUCCAUGUUCUGGAAGCUUCUCCCUUCUUUGUCGCUCUGGGGUUUGAAGCCGCGGUGGAAAGCUGUUCUGGAUCCAGGGCCCGUUUGGGAUUGCUCAGACACACACACCCUCACAAGGACCCCCUUUGAUUGUUGCCAUGGAAACACAUUUCAAUAUCUCCUUCAAGUAAAUGUAUCUGCGUAAAGUUCUGCGUUUUCCAUCUCAAAGGAGAGGAGGAAUUUCCAUCCAGCUCGAAGGAGAGAGGAGAUUUCCAUCCAUGCCAGAACCAGGGGGUCCAUCCCAAAAUUCCCCAAAUUCCCCAGAUUCCUAAAUCCCUCCACGCCAGGGAACUGUCGAUGCUCCAGAGCUCCGGAGCAGCUGGAACAUCUGGAACAUCUGGAACAUCCCAACUCCCACAACACCUGAAGAGAUCCCAGAAACUCAGGAUGGGCCCCUCUGCUCCCUGCAAAGCUCGGAAUUCCUGCAGGAGGGACGGCUCUGGGAAGAUGUGAGAUGAGAAUGUGAUCACCCCCAGGGCCCCCAAAGGAAAAAAUGGAUUUUUAAUAACUCGAACCAUCUCUUCAGCUCCCAUCAGUCUCCUCCUCGGCUUUAUAGCGCUGGGCAUGAAGAAUAUGAGGAUUUGAAGAAUUAACUGAAUUAAUGAGGGUUGAUUAUUAAUGUUCAGAGCUCAAUAAAAGAGAGGGGGGGGUGGAAAUAAAACUCA
rnacentral:lncRNA from 1 species